GGUAAUGGGCUGGUUCCAUCUGCCCCUCUGCUCUGGCGGCUCGAAGGUGGGGAGUGAAAUCCACAGUCCAUGGCUGGCAGCACACACAACUCCAAAACAGAGCCUGGGCCCACUGAGGCCGCCUCACUCCCAUGCACCGCCCCACGUGCAUCUCCAUAAGCAUCUCCUCGAAACCCUCUCUGCUGGUGUUGAGAGAGAUACACUGACGAUUCAUUCGGGAGUGUGUGUCUCAUUACCAUCACUCUGCUCCAUAUGCUAACUUUGGACCCCUGACCGAGAUGUUUCUUUAACAGGCGUAUGUCAGUAGUCUUGCCUUUAAAACCCAAAUAACGAAGGGCAAAAAUACCUGCCCCACCAAAGGCACAAGUCUCUUUCCCUGCUUGCCAAUCAAUCCUGUGAUGGGGAUGCCAGCGCAACACCUUCCACAGGGGCGGUCCCUUUCUGGACCGUCUGAGCGCAAAAUCGCAUCACCAGAACACAUCCAGAAGUCCCAAGACUCCCAAGUUCUACCUAGAAGCUCCUACUGCCAAGUGCUCUCCACUGCACCAUCGCCCCAGUAACAGUGUCCCUUUAGGAGCCCAGCAGCCCCAGGGUCUCGCUCCAUCACUCAGGUUGGAGUGCAGUGGUGCAAUCACGGCUCACUGCAGCCUUGACCUCCCAGGCCGAAGCAAUCCUCCCACCUCAGCCUCCUGAGUAUAGCUGGUGCUUCAGGUUCAAGUGGGAUGAGAAGACAGUGAAAUUUAUGUGAUCUGAUGAUGAUAAGUGCUGUGGAGAAAAAUAAACCAGGGAGAGAAGAGAACGUGCUGGGGAGAAGGGGACUCUAGUGAUUUCAAUGUUGAAUAGGAUGGCCAAGAAAGGCCUCUUCCUCUGCUGGUGCUGGACAGCUGAGCAAGACAGAAGGACAGAAAGACAGCAAAUAUCAGGCUAAGAGGAUGUUUGGGGAAGUGUACCCCCACAGAGAACAACUUCAAGGACUCCGAGGCGGAGAGACACAGCCGAACCAGUGCCAGGGGAACAGACGGGCCCAUCAGACCCCAAAGCGAGCAUGCUGUCUCCCGUUCCACAGACACACAUCACCUGGCUCCGACGACCAGCCUGCAGGGCCACUCCCAAGCGUUCUAAGGAACAGGGCACCAGCCUGUCUCAGACCCCAGGCCAGUGUGGGAAGCACAGUCAUUUAACUUACAUGACUCUGGCUUAUUUGGAUUGGGUUUGACAAAAGAGGAAGAGAACAGAACACAUUUUUCUCCUGUCUUUCAAAUUAAGAAAGAAAUACCUAGAACAUUUAAUUAAAUAAAUACAAGAAUAAAAAUUAUGCAGUCCAGUUUCUGCACUAUAAGGUAUAUUUUUGUUUCAGAAAAAGUCUAGUUAAAAAAAAAAAUCUUAGUCAGUGCUCAAUGAUAAGUAAUGGAAUUCCCUGUUGGGCUUGAAUUCUCUCCAAUGUCAAUGGGGCCUUGAUCUGGAUGAGGAUGUUGAAAAAUACCCGGUCCCUCUGAGGGAUGGGGUUUCGGGGGUGGGCAGGGAGGCAGGAGUGGCAGAAGCACCAGGGGCCAUGCUCCAAGGAAAAGCCCAGCCAACACAGCAGGCCAGGGGGGUGGGGAUCCAGGCCAUGUGUGGCAUCUGUCUUGAUCGCAGCACAUGAGCUGGGAGGGGAAUUUGGUCUGGAGUUGUGAGCUGGGACUCAGGCUGUGGCUGUGAAGUCCCAAGCUAAAGGGCUUCGGCUGGGACCCUGACGCUUGCACUCCCCAGUCCCGCAGCACUGGUCUCAAGUGGAAUGUGCUGUCAGUGUAAACACACACAGGGUUCUAAAAAUGUGGUAUGAAAAAAAAUGUCAAUGAUCUCAUUUAUAGUUUUUACACUGGUUAUAUGCUGAAAUAAUA
rnacentral:lncRNA from 1 species